rnacentral:rRNA from 1 species
UACAGAGGUCUCAAGCGUUGUUCGGAUUCAUUGGGCGUAAAGGGUGCGUAGGCGGUCUUUUAAGUCAGUGCUGAAAUACUCCAGCUUAACUGGAGGGGUGGCAUUGAUACUGGAAGACUUGAGUGUAGUCGAGGUAGGCGGAAUUGACGGUGUAGCGGUGAAAUGCUUAGAUAUCGUCAAGAACACCGAUAGUGAAGACAGCUUACUAGGCUACAACUGACGCUGAGGCACGAAAGUGUGGGAUCAAACAGG